UACGGGGGGGGUAAGCGUUGUUCGGAAUUACUGGGCGUAAAGGGCUCGUAGGCGGCCAACUAAGUCAUACGUGAAAUCCCUCAGCUUAACUGGGGAACUGCGUGUGAUACUGGAUGGCUUGGAUUUGGGAGAGGGAUGCGGAAUUCCAGGUGUAGCGGUGAAAUGCGUAGAUAUCUGGAGGAACACCGGUGGCGAAGGCGGCAUCCUGGACCAAUAUUGACGCUGAGGAGCGAAAGCUAGGGAGCAAACAGGG
rnacentral:rRNA from 1 species